CUCUCUCACUAUACACUAAGCUUCUUGACCCAAGAACUGUGGUUUACUUUGUAUCUGUGCCAGAAAGUGGAUCAUAUCCACAAACUGGAUGACAAACUCAGGACCUACUCUUCAAUAGUCUUUGAGGAGUAAACGAAUUAGAAGUCUGCUUAAGUUGUGUUACUAUUAUUACUAGCUGUUGAACAUUUACUUAAGGGUAAGCAUUGUGCCAGGAGCUGCACAUACAUAAUCCUGAUUUUGUAGGUUUUCUCUUGAUUAUGCUUAUGUUCUUCUAAGAGAUAGAAUUUUAAUUAAUCAAACUAAAGGUUAAAUACUGCAAUGACAAAAAUAGAAAAAAUGAAGGUGUUAAUUUUACUGUGAUGUUUAUUAUUUAUUACUGUAACUGUUUUAAGACAAGAAACUUUCUGUAAAGUAAAAUGAUUCAAAGGGGGAAAAUGGCUUACAUGAUUCAAAUAUGAUCAAAACUUAUUUUGAGUUUGUAAGAGAAAUAUGCAAAUUAGACUCUGGUUGACAGUAAACUCAGCUAGGAAUAUGCAAAGAAUCCUCAAACACCAAUUUCACUGAGACAGAAAGAAUGCUAGAGUGACAGUGUCAUGAAAUGUCACAGAAAUUUUGGCAUAGGUAAUGAAAUUAGAAAUUCUAUUUUGCAUUUAAAUUAUUUAAAAUUAUACUAAAUUUUUUAAAAAUAGGAGAUGCCAAAUAGCUUCAUGUGCUUUCAAUUUCAUAACACUCUCCUUCCCUAAGGAAAAUACUAUUGAAUAUCCAGGGCUUAUGUGGAGCUUGCACAAGCCAGGGUCCCAGAGGGUCUGUGAUAUGAAUCCUAUAUUCUGAGUUGCACAGGAGAAUCAUACCAACUUCCACCAUUGGUAAAAAUUUAGGCGUGCAAGUCUGGAAUAAGGACUCUCUGACAUUUUGAAAGAGGAAGAUUUGAGCACUUCCUCAUAUCUCAGAAGCAACAAAGAAUCCUUUUUUCAAAAAAUUUUUAUCCUCUGGGACAUUUACAGAAGCAUCACAUUAAACCUGGAUAAAUGAAUGUAUCCCAGUUACUUAGUAGUUGCUGGCAUUGCAUUGAAUGUAUUCUACUACUUAGUCAGUUGCUGACAUUGCCCACGUGAUGGAUGCCAUGACUAUACCUAGGAUACAAGUAGAAGUAACGUAAGCAGCAGCAAGUAUUUUUUGAAACAGGGAAUGGUUUUAAGUUUUGAUGUCCACAAGUAGGUUCUUAAUAGUUUAAGCAUUUAUUUAAUUACUUGAUCUAAGUGGCCAGCUAAAUCAAAUGAUUCAGUAAAAUGACUAAAACUAGGAAAAUAGAGGGUUUGAAUUAUAUAGUUGAUAUUCCUAUUCAAAUAGGUAGAUAAUUUGCCAAUCUUCACUUCAUUUGAUGCUUCAUAGCCAUAUCUUCAAGUUCAUGGGCAAAUAGAGCAGUAGUAGUUUCACUAUAUAAUCAGCAGGAUAUGGAAGAGGCCAGACUGGUAAAAUUAGAAUUUUUUAAUUGUGUGGGUCACAGUCUCUGAAAGAAUAGUACUUAUGUUUUAUUCUCUAAUCUGCCAAAAUUGCUGGACUGUGAACAAACCUUCAGAUGCUUACUCAGAUUGAACUAUUUUAAUACCCAAUGAUUACUAUUUAGACUAAGUCAAAUGAGGCAGAUUUGCUAAAAUAACUGCUGGACACAUCUCAAUAAAAUUUAUCUGUUGAGUAUUUAAAAAUUUGGACAGAAAACAGGAACAAGUGUUACUAACUAUUCUCAGGUGUUACUAAACUUAUCAACUAUAAUCUCAGAAGUUCUGUGUUUACCUUUGAAUUUUAUUUGCUGACUUUAUUCACUAGAGCUGUUAUGACUUUUCCUAAAGUUAACUGUCCUGCUGAGUCUUGGAUGCUAAGUGUGCAGGAUAAGUUAGAAGCAGUCAGGAUCUGGGGUUGGCCAUGUAGAAGUAAUAUUAGCUAAAUGGUAAAUAGGAAGGUAAGAGAUUGUGUUCAGAGAUGUCAGCUAGGAAACAGAGUGAUAACACAAAAUAUUCAGUUUAAAACUGUCAGGUUGUAAGGAUCAGGAUACCAGGCUGAGAGAUUAAGGGAAAAUGGUCAGAGACCUAUGAGAGAUGGAAAAUUAAGAUGGUUCAAGUACUUAAACUUUUCAGUAUGUGUAGCAGGAGGCUAUAAUCUGAAGCAUAGAGUCUAAAUAGUUAUAGAUAAUUAUUACUGGUAGCUAUUCUUAACUAUUUUUAUGAGCUUUAUACUAAAACUACUAAGACAGAGGUUCUUACAGAGCUCUUAAGGCUAGAAAUGUUAUUAAAAUAUUAGACUUGAAUGAAUGGGUACUUAGCGGCAGGUGAGACCUGAAUGGAAUAGGGGACUGAUGAGUAGAGAGCUAGACAAUUUUCCUACCUACAUGUUUCUGAAAAGGAAGUGCUUAGAUUUGCAUCCCAGCUCCAUCACAUACUACCUGUAUGGAUUAAAUUCAUGUCAUUUAACCUCUCUCAUAAUAUUUAAUAUAGAAGAUUGCUAUGAUAAUAAAUGAAAUAAGUGCCUGACAUCAUGUCAGAUUCAGAGUAACCACUCAAUAAAUGUUAAUUUCUGUCCUUCUUCAUCUACCACCUAAGCACACUUUGUUUUACAGUAUUAUGUUUAUUCUUGUAUAUCUCAAUAAACUCUCUUUUUGAUAAUAGGAAAAGUGUGUUGGCAUUUUAUCACUAGUAUCUACCUGAUACAUGGUAGGUGAUCAAAAAUGUAUUCUAUAGAUAUAGCAUGUUUGGAAAGUAUUCCCCUUCUAAAGGAAAUAUUCCCUUCCUAAUAGGAAGAUAAUAUGGAAAACUUUAAGACAUUCUAAAUUUUACCAAGGACUUAACAACAACAAGAUAUAUAUACAUCAUUUAUACUUUCUAGGAUAGAUGUCAAUGAGAUUUACAAAAAUUAGACUGAUGGAACUCUGUGGUGAUAGGAAUCAGAAACUUGGUCAGUUAAAACACUUAGAAGUGGGCCUUCUUCCCAGUAAAGUAGUUGAAAAUACUAGACACUUGCUUUCUUGGCCUCCUUUGCUGCUGAUGUGAACUUCACUAGAAAGAUACAUAACCCUCAGCCAUGAUCAUGUUAAGAAUUUCCUUCCCCAAGUAGGGACUUGGGGAAGAUAGCACUGCUGGGAGCAGCAGUGGCCCUGGGACAUAGUCCAACAAAAGUGCUAGGUGGAUUGGUUGCAGAGUGGUAUCUUCCACAAAUUGGUUAUGCAACAUGAUUUUGGGCAUUCUUUCUCAAUUUUCUUUCCUAGGGAUUCUGUGAGCAAUCAAUACCCUUUUCAAUUCUACUUGCAACAAAACAGAAAGAAUAGAUUUUAAAUAUGCUGUCACCAAAGGCGCUCCGAACAUAUUUCUCUUUUCUUUACAUUUUAUCAUGUUGGUGACAUCGUAAAGGAAAAGAUGCUGGAGGGGGAGGGCAUCUUUCAAGGAGAAAAGAAAGAUUUAUGUUGGUACUUAAAAUGAGUUAAAAUUUAUUUCUAACAAUAUUAACAGGGACAACAACAGCUGUAGCAAGGAGAGAAAGUGUGUAUAGUAGUUUAAAAAUUGAAGAUGAAAUACUAGGAUGGUGUCAGAAAUUUUGAGUUUAAUACUCUAGGAAUAAAGUGAUUCUGAUUAAUAUGAGGGUGAAUUCAGAGACAGACAAGAGUCCGAUGUAACUGAUUACAUUAGCUCCCUUCCUCAAUAACGUUGCUGGCUACUGCCAAAACAUUCCCACAUCUAAUUAUUCCAGCACUGCUGCCCUUCCAUAUCAUCAAAUUUUCAUUCUCUACUGGAUAAUUUAAAUCAACAUGCACAUAUACUGUAAUAUCUCUCACCUACAAAACCCUGCCCUGUUCCUAUAUCAUCUUCUGUUUAUAUUCUACUCUACUUGUAGCAAAACUCAAGGAAUAAUUAUCUAAACUCAUCUUUAUUUCCUCUCUUCUCAUUCUCUCUUGAACCCACUUC
rnacentral:lncRNA from 1 species